UCAUCUCCUGUCCUCUGCCCAUCUCCUGUUUUGUUUUUCUCUGCAUGGGUCAUACUUUCCAAUAAGCCAUGGCUACACCUGGUACCCUAGAAAGGUUUUAGUCAACGAAGUGUACCUAUUGCAGACAGACUCAGCAAGUCCUGGAAUGACCAGGAGGAACCACUUCAUCCCCUUAUGAAUGCAGUCUCAUCUUUUCAUUUGCAAUUAGCUGAUCGAGUCCUCAUUAGCAGGAGGACUAGUGUUACUCUUUUGAGGUCCAAGAACUGCCGGGACACAGUCCAAAGUGCACAGUCCUGCUUCCAAAUACAGGGCUGAGAGGGAACAAGAGCUUCUGAGCUGCCCAAUUAUGGGUUAAUGUGGGUAAGUCUCAUCCAAUCCUUUGAAGGCCUGAAGAACAAAGAGUGAGGUUUCUGGAAGAAGAAAAUUUUACCUCAAGCCUGCAAUGUAGAAAUUCUGCUUGAGUUUCCCGCCUGCUGGCCUGCCCUGUGGAAUUCGGAGUCAAGAAGGAGUCUUGUAAGCAUUAACUGAGAUAGUAUAUGAAGAGUGCUUUUGCACCGAGUGAACCUUCAAUCAACUGUACUAGUUUGUAUGCCUGGAAGAGCUGCUAUAUGGGAUCAGAAAGAAAAAUAAGGUGCAUACGCCAGAAAAAAAAUACUUGCAUAUGAGUACUAGGAGAUGCAUGACAAUGUUCACGGCAGCAGUAUUCAUGGCAGUGAAAAAUGAAAAGAACUGAAAUGCCCAUUGAUAAAAACGUCUACUUAUUUGUGUCAUCUUUGCACAGUGGAAUUGUGCGAGUGGAAAUGAUUGAUCUACAGCUAGGAGAAGCAGCAGAGCUCAAUCUCAAAAACAUAACGUUGUGUGGAAAAAGCUAACCUCAGAACACUUUGCGGCUCUAUCUUAGCAAACCAGGAGAGAAAUUCUCCUGAUGGCCUUGAAGAAGCAAACAGCCACCUGGUUAAGCCCCUGUGGAUAGUGCCAAGUGGCAGGAAAGUGGGAGCCACCUCUAGGACCUGAGGAUUAAAGUCAGUAAGAGCUGGGACCUCACUCAUGCAGACUCGAGGACAUGAAUUCGACCAACAACUUGAAUGAGCUUGGAAGUGGAUUCUUCCCUAGUCCAGUCUUCAGAAAUUAAGAAUGUUCCCAAAGAAUGAUGGAGACAUUUCAAAAGGAUACGGAAGCCAGAUUGUGGGCGCUUCUACUGGCCAACUCUGGGACAUCGUGGACAUCAAAAUAAAUUUGUAAUAAUAAAGGAUUAUAGCCUAUUAGUUAAAUCAGAAAAAUCUGAUUUAACUAAAUGAGUAGGAGGAAAAGAAAGCUCUUCCUUAUAUUAGAAAGUCAAUUAAUAAAUGCAGAAAGGAAUGAAAAAAUUAGAAAAGCCACCAUUUGGCAACCAUGGCAGGCAGAAUGGGGAGUAUGCCUCCAGACAGUAAUUCCUUUCAAACUGGUUUAUAGGAACUCACUGAGCUUGCUGAUCGACCUCUGAGAGGCAAAGUUUCUGAAUUAUGAAGUACUGAUUAUAUAAACUUAGACAGAGACAUGCUUCAUUAUUUAAUAGGACUGUGUCAAAAGCCUACUAUUAGGAUGAUGUGUUGGGUGUGGAACAGGGUCUCUUCCUGCCAGGAACACUGGUGAUUUCACUCCGUGUUCAGGCUGAUCUUUGAAGUUGAAGACAAGCAGAAGAAUCCUUCUAAAAUUUAGCCAUGCCCAUAGGCUGGGAGGGACACUGCUCCAUUCAGAGGCAGCAAAGCACAUUACUGUAUCUCCUAUAGAGCUUUGAGCAGUCCAGUGUACAUGGAGAAACUUAGUAAAUGUUGUUGAAUUAGUGAAUGAACAAAUCAAUGGACCAAGUCAGGGGUAAGUCUUACAUUUGUCAUCUAGGUGAUUAAGAAAGGAAAAAGUAUCUGUUUCAAGAGGAUUACAAUCUAACUGUACUCCAAUAGUAAAAUUUACUCUUUUGGAAUCUGA
rnacentral:lncRNA from 1 species